GAUGAACGCUGGCGGCGUGCCUAAUACAUGCAAGUCGAGCGAACGGACGAGAAGCUUGCUUCUCUGAUGUUAGCGGCGGACGGGUGAGUAACACGUGGAUAACCUACCUAUAAGACUGGGAUAACUUCGGGAAACCGGAGCUAAUACCGGAUAAUAUUUUGAACCGCAUGGUUCAAAAGUGAAAGACGGUCUUGCUGUCACUUAUAGAUGGAUCCGCGCUGCAUUAGCUAGUUGGUAAGGUAACGGCUUACCAAGGCAACGAUGCAUAGCCGACCUGAGAGGGUGAUCGGCCACACUUGAACUGAGACACGGGCCAGACUCCUACGGGAGGCAGCAGUAGGGAAUCUUCCGCAAUGGGCGAAAGCCUGACGGAGCAACGCCGCGUGAGUGAUGAAGGUCUUCGGAUCGUAAAACUCUGUUAUUAGGGAAGAACAUAUGUGUAAGUAACUGUGCACAUCUUGACGGUACCUAAUCAGAAAGCCACGGCUAACUACGU
rnacentral:rRNA from 1 species